ACCGUAUCGUACCAAAGAGUAGCAUAUUUCUAUUUCUUUGUCUCCUGAGCACUAGAGUGAAACUCUGAUCUGACUUCUGAUUGGCAAUGACAUAUACUAAUAUGUGCAAACGAGACCAUAUAUUGUGCAUAUGACGAAAUGACUACACUAGUACUGAACACAGGGUGUCCCAAAAAACCACAAAACUAUUCAAGUAACAUAUUGUUAGAAUUUGAAUGCUUCAGUCCCCUUCUGAACCCACAAGUGCAUAAAAGCUUGACAUAAGUAAAUUUUAUGCAUUUAAGAAAUAGAAAACGAUUCGCGUGCGUUUAUUGUGUGAUGAUGCACGCAGGGAAUGUUGG
rnacentral:lncRNA from 1 species